AGACAGGAACAGAUCUAUUGAUUUUAAGCAAGACCAUCCGAGCGGCAGCAUGACGCGCGCCGAGAUCUGGGACUUGGUCGAUUCGACCUACCCUGAGUUGUCCGGCAACCGUGUCCGCCGUCCCUUCGAUACAGACAGAAACAGAUCUAUUGAUUUUAAGCAAGACUAUCCGAGCGGCAGCACGUCGCUCCCCGAGGCCUUUGUCUUGUUCGACCUACCCUGAGUUGUCCGCCAACCGUGUCCGCCGUCCCUUCGUUAUAGACAGAAACAGAUCUAUUGAUUUUAAGAAACGCCUAGAUUACGGUGCAGUCUCUUCCGAACGCGUCGCUGGCCCCUGAUCAUUCGUUAACCGUUGGUAGACCGAACCUGCCGGCCAAACAUUUUUUUGGUUUUCAAAAUUCAAAAACAAUUUUUUGGUUUUCAUCAAAAUGUGGUUCGUCCACAUUUUGAUGCCCAAGAGCAACAGCCAAGCUACUCCAGUCAGAACGAUCAAUUAAAUCAUGCAGAGGAUCUUGCUCUGCUGACACAGUCAAUUAAUAAUACAAACUACCCUCAAUUGC
rnacentral:lncRNA from 1 species